rnacentral:rRNA from 1 species
UGGGGAAUUUUGGACAAUGGGCGAAAGCCUGAUCCAGCAAUGCCGCGUGUGUGAAGAAGGCCUUCGGGUUGUAAAGCACUUUUGUCCGGAAAGAAAUCCUUGGCUCUAAUACAGUCGGGGGAUGGCGGUACCGGAAGAAUAAGCACCGGCUAACUACGUGCCAGCAGCCGCGGUAAUACGUAGGGUGCAAGCGUUAAUCGGAAUUACUGGGCGUAAAGCGUGCGCAGGCGGUUUGCUAAGACCGAUGUGAAAUCCCCGGGCUCAACCUGGGAACUGCAUUGGUGACUGGCAGGCUAGAGUAUGGCAGAGGGGGGUAGAAUUCCACGUGUAGCAGUGAAAUGCGUAGAGAUGUGGAGGAAUACCGAUGGCGAAGGCAGCCCCCUGGGCCAAUACUGACGCUCAUGCACGAAAGCGUGGGGAGCAAACAGGAUUAGAUACCCUGGUAGUCCACGCCCUAAACGAUGUCAACUAGUUGUUGGGGAUUCAUUUCCUUAGUAACGUAGCUAACGCGUGAAGUUGACCGCCUGGGGAGUACGGUCGCAAGAUUAAAACUCAAAGGAAUUGACGGGGUCAUAGCUGUUUCCU